GACGUAGGGGGCGAGCGUUGUCCGGAUUCAUUGGGCGUAAAGCGCGCGCAGGCGGCCCGGUAAGUCGGAUGUGAAAUCCCACGGCUCAACCGUGGAACUGCAUUCGAUACUGUCGGGCUAGAGGCAGGUAGGGGAGAUCGGAAUUCCUGGUGUAGCGGUGAAAUGCGCAGAUAUCAGGAGGAACACCGGUGGCGAAGGCGGAUCUCUGGGCCUGUCCUGACGCUCAGGCGCGAAAGCUAGGGGAGCAAACAGG
rnacentral:rRNA from 1 species